GAUGAACGCUGGCGGCGUGCCUAAUACAUGCAAGUCGAGUGAACGGACGAGAAGCUUGCUUCUCUGAUGUUAGCGGCGGACGGGUGAGUAACACGUGGAUAACCUACCUAUAAGACUGGGAUAACUUCGGGAAACCGGAGCUAAUACCGGAUGAUAUUUUGAACCGCAUGGUUCAAAAGUGAAAGACGGUCUUGCUGUCACUUAUAGAUGGAUCCGCGCUGCAUUAGCUAGUUGGUAAGGUAACGGCUUACCAAGGCAACGAUGCAUAGCCGACCUGAGAGGGUGAUCGGCCACACUGGAACUGAGACACGGUCCAGACUCCUACGGGAGGCAGCAGUAGGGAAUCUUCCGCAAUGGGCGAAAGCCUGACGGGGCAACGCCGCGUGAGUGAUGAAGGUCUUCGGAUCGUAAAACUCUGUUAUUAGGGAAGAACAUAUGUGUAAGUAACUGUGCACAUCUUGACGGUACCUAAUCAGAAAGCCACGGCUAACUACGUG
rnacentral:rRNA from 1 species